CCUACGGGUGGCAGCAGUGAGGAAUAUUGGUCAAUGGGCGGAAGCCUGAACCAGCCAAGUAGCGUGCGGGAUGAAGGCCCUACGGGUCGUAAACCGCUUUUGCACGGGGAUAACACCCUCCACUUGUGGAGGUCUGCAGGUACCGUGCGAAUAAGGGCCGGCUAAUUCCGUGCCAGCAGCCGCGGUAAUACGGAAGGCCCGAGCGUUAUCCGGAUUCAUUGGGCUUAAAGGGAGCGUAGGCGGGCGUUCAAGUCAGCGGUAAAAUUUCGGGGCUCAACCCCGACAAGCCGUUGAAACUGGCUUGCUAGAGUGGGCGAGAAGUAUGCGGAAUGCGUGGUGUAGCGGUGAAAUGCAUAGAUAUCACGCAGAACUCCGAUUGCGAAGGCAGCAUACCGGCGCCCAACUGACGCUCAGGCACGAAAGCGUGGGUAUCGAACAGGAUUAGAUACCCCAGUAGUC
rnacentral:rRNA from 1 species